rnacentral:rRNA from 1 species
ACGCUCGACACCUACGGGGGCAGCAGUGGGGAAUAUUGCACAAUGGGGGAAACCCUGAUGCAGCGACGCCGCGUGGAGGAAGAAGGUCUUCGGAUUGUAAACUCCUGUUGUUGGGGAAAAAGAGGAUGGUACCCAACAAGGAAGUGACGGCUAACUACGUGCCAACAGCCGCCGGUAAGUCUGAGCGGGCGUGGCAAGGCG